CUCUCUGAUCAUCGGCGCCGUCAAAAGGGAGGCUGGCAAUAUAAUGGCAUGGGCCAAAUAGUGCACAACAUAUACUGGUUCGGUAUCACUCCAAUAGUUAGAUUUUUCAUGUUUUUUAAUAUUUACAGUAAAUUUCACAAAACACCUACAAAAAAUUGCGGGUUUAGCAUUAUGAAACCAUGACUUUUGUACCUUUUUUUUUCUUAUGACCAUAGUUAUUGCACUAGUUAGUACUUCUUCCGCCU
rnacentral:lncRNA from 1 species